UUUGCGUAGGUGAACCUGCGGAAGGAUCAUUAUCGAGUUUUGACUGGGGUGUAGCUUGCCUUCCGAGGCAUGUGCACGCCCUGCUCACCCACUCUACACCUGUGCACUUACUGUGGGUAUCAGCUCGUGUAGCGUGCUCUUUUACCGGAGCUUGUGAAGCGUGUCUGUGUCUGCGUUUAUCAUAAACACAACAAAGUAUCAGAAUGUGUAUUACGAUGUAACGCAUCUAUAUACAACUUUCAGCAACGGAACUCUUGGCUCUCGCAUCGUUGAAGAACG
rnacentral:misc_RNA from 1 species